rnacentral:rRNA from 1 species
GUGGCAAGCGUUAUCCGGAUUUAUUGGGUUUAAAGGGUGCGUAGGCGGUUCAAUAAGUCUGAUGUGAAAGCCUUCGGCUCCACCGGAGAAUUGCAUCAGAAACUGUUGAACUUGAGUGCAGAAGAGGAGAGUGGAACUCCAUGUGUAGCGGUGGAAUGCGUAGAUAUAUGGAAGAACACCAGCGGCGAAGGCGGCUCUCUGGUCUGCAACUGACGCUGAGGCUCGAAAGCAUGGGUAGCGAAC